CCCUUAGACGUUCUGGGCCGCACGCGUGCUACACUGAGUGGAUCAGCGGGUCAGGUUGCGCGAAAGCGUUUCCUAAUCUUUAAAUCCGCUCGUGAUGGGGAUUGACGGUUGCAAUUUUCUGUCAUGAACGAGGAAUACCUUGUAAGCGCGGGUCAUCAUCCCGCGCUGAAUACGUCCCUGCCCUUUGUACACACCGCCCGUCGCUCCUACCGAUUGAGUGGUCCGGUGAGGCUUUGGGAUCUGAGCGGAAAGAGCGUUUCGCUGUUUCUGCUCGGAAAACUCAGUCGAACCUUAUCAUUUAGAGGAAGGAGAAGUCGUAACA
rnacentral:rRNA from 1 species